AUUGAACGCUGGCGGCAUGCCUUACACAUGCAAGUCGAACGGCAGCGAUGGAGAGCUUGCUCUCUGAUGGCGAGUGGGCGAACGGGUGAGUAAAGCGAUCGGAACGUACCGUGUAGUGGGGGAUAACGUAGCGAAAGUUACGCUAAUACCGCAUACGCGACUGAGGUGGAAAGCAGGGGAUCGCAAGACCUUGCGCUAUACGAGCGGCCGAUGGUCAGAUUAGCUAGUUGGUAGGGUAAAGGCCUACCAAGGCGACGAUCUGUAGCGGGUCUGAGAGGAGUGAUCCGCCACACCUGGGACUGAGACACGGCCCAGACUCCGUAC
rnacentral:rRNA from 1 species